GGCACCUGUACCCGGUGCGGUGCAUCGAUGGCAAGGGA
rfam:Synergistales bacterium 58_81 MPJ_scaffold_183, whole genome shotgun sequence.